rnacentral:sRNA from 1 species
UGAGUGUUUCCGAAGAGUGGCGAUGCG